rnacentral:hammerhead_ribozyme from 1 species
GCACUGUUGAAGAGUCCUACAAUAGAACGAAACAACUGUCUAGUAU